rnacentral:rRNA from 1 species
UGUAAGCGUAUACCAAAGUUGUUGCAGUUAAAACGCUCGUAGUCGGAAUUUGGCAGUUCCGGAUGUGUGCACGUCGUGUGCGCACUUCGCGGGGAUUGCUUUUGUGGUCUUGCGCAGGAUGAGGCACUUUUAUUAGUGAACGUCCUCACGCAACCACUUUUUACUGUGAGAAAAUCAGAGUGCUCAAAGCAGGCAUUUGCCGUGAAUGUAUUAGCAUGGAAUAAUAGAAUAGGACUUGGUUCUAUUUUGUUGGUUUGUUGGGACUGAGUAAUGAUUAAGAGGGACAGUUGGGGGCAUCUGUAUUUCGGUGCUAGAGGUGAAAUUCUUAGAUUACCGAAAGACAAACUGCUGCGAAAGCGUCUGCCAAGGAUGUUUUCAUUGA